GACGAACGCUGGCGGCGUGCUUAACACAUGCAAGUCGAACGGACAGACAGAGAGCUUGCUCUCUUGAAGUUAGUGGCGAACGGGCGAGUAACGCGUAAUCAACCUGCCCUUCAGAGGGGGAUAACGACGGGAAACCGUUGCUAAUACCGCGUACGAUUCAUGAACGGCAUCGUUUAUGAAUGAAAGGUGGCCUCUAUGUAUAAGCUAUCGCUGAAGGAGGGGAUUGCGUCUGAUUAGCUAGUUGGAGGGGUAACGGCCCACCAAGGCAAUGAUCAGUAGCCGGUCUGAGAGGAUGAACGGCCACAUUGGGACUGAGACACGGCCCAAACUCCUACGGGAGGCAGCAGUGGGGAAUCUUCCGCAAUGGACGAAAGUCUGACGGAGCAACGCCGCGUGAGUGAUGAAGGUCUUCGGAUUGUAAAGCUCUGUUAAUCGGGACGAAAGAGUUCUGCGUGAAUAAUGCAGAAAAGUGACGGUACCGGAAUAGAAAGCCACGGCUAACUACGUGCCAGCCGCCGCAGUAA
rnacentral:rRNA from 1 species